rnacentral:tRNA from 1 species
AGCGAAGUGGCCAAACGCAUCAGACUGUAAAUCUGCUCCCUUACGGGUUCGGUGGUUCGAAUCCAUCA